rnacentral:rRNA from 1 species
UACGGGAGGCAGCAGUGGGGAAUAUUGCACAAUGGGCGAAAGCCUGAUGCAGCUAUGCCGCGUGUAUGAAGAAGGCCUUAGGGUUGUAAAGUACUUUCAUCGGGGAGGAAAAACAAAACUAAUAAUUUUAUUUCUUGACGUUACCCGAAAAAGAAGCACCGGCUAACUCCGUGCCAGCAGCCGCGGUAAUACGGAGGGUGCUAGCGUUAAUCAGAAUUACUGGGCGUAAAGAGCACGUAGGUGGUUUUUUUAAAGUCAGAUGUGAAAUCCCUGGGCUUAACCUGGAACUGCAUUUUGAAACUGAAAUACUAGAGUAUCGUAGAGGGAGGUAGAAUUCUAGGUGUAGCGGUGAAAUGCGUAGAUAUCUGGAGGAAUACCUGUGGCGAAAGCGGCCUCCUAAACGAAUACUGACACUGAGGUGCGAAAGCGUGGGGAGCAAACGAGGAUUAGAUACC